GACGAACCGUGCGAACGUUGUUCGGAUUCACUGGGCUUAAAGGGCGCGUAGGCGGCUUGCCAAGUCAGUGGUGAAAUCUUUCGGCUCAACCGGAAAAUGGCUGCUGAUACUGGGCGGCUGGAGGGAGGUAGGGGCAGAUGGAACUUCCGGUGGAGCGGUGAAAUGCGUAGAUAUCGGAAGGAACGCCGGUGGCGAAAGCGAUCUGCUGGACCUCUUCUGACGCUGAGGCGCGGAAAAG
rnacentral:rRNA from 1 species